UGACAACUAAAAUCCCCUUGCAGGCCGUCCAUAUCAACCUACGGCAGGUCAGAGCGCGUAACCCCUCCAGAACCGCAAGCCCAGGCCCACACCCUUUCCCCUUGUCAACAUUGUCACUUUAAACAGAACAUCUAGCCUUAUCGCCCAACCUGGAAAUUGACAGUGCAGGAGAAACCGACACCAGUGAGCAGCAUCUGUGCAGCACAUCUCCUCCUCUCUCUCGGCUUACAGUAUGAAUUCAGAAUGUCAAAGCUCAUUUUCUCAUCAGCCUCAGAUGCUGUUAAAGCACUGCAAGCUUGACUUCUCUUCUCGGACACGUUGGUUUUACAAUGGCGCAGGGUCAGCGUCCAGCUUACACCAGUGUAAGAAUCUGGAUCCACCCAAUUGAGAUGAUACUUGACCCGGAUGGUUGGAUUUCUGCUGUCAGUACCAAAUCCACAGGUCUGUUGGCCCUGUG
rnacentral:lncRNA from 1 species